UACGUAGGGUGCAAGCGUUGUCCGGAAUUAUUGGGCGUAAAGAGCUCGUAGGCGGUCUGUCACGUCGGAUGUGAAAAUCCAGGGCUUAACCCUGGACCUGCAUUCGAUACGGGCAGACUAGAGUUCGGUAGGGGAGACUGGAAUUCCUGGUGUAGCGGUGAAAUGCGCAGAUAUCAGGAGGAACACCGGUGGCGAAGGCGGGUCUCUGGGCCGAAACUGACGCUGAGGAGCGAAAGCGUGGGGAGCAAACAGG
rnacentral:rRNA from 1 species